GGAUUACCUCAGUACGGCGAGUGAAGCGGUAACAGCUCAAAUUUGAAAGCUAGCUCUUUUAGGGUUCGCAUUGUAAUUUGUAGAAGAUGCUUCGGGUGUGGCCCCGGUCUAAGUUCCUUGGAACAGGACGUCAUAGAGGGUGAGAAUCCCGUAUGUGACUGGGUGCUUUCGCUCAUGUGAAGCUCUUUCGACGAGUCGAGUUGUUUGGGAAUGCAGCUCAAAAUGGGUGGUAAAUUUCAUCUAAAGCUAAAUAUUGGCCAGAGACCGAUAGCGCACAAGUAGAGUGAUCGAAAGAUGAAAAGCACUUUGGAAAGAGAGUUAAACAGUACGUGAAAUUGUUGAAAGGGAAGCGCUUGCAACCAGACUUGCGCGCUGAUGAUCAUCCGGGCUUCUGCCCGGUGCACUCGUCUGCGCUCAGGCCAGCAUCGGUUUCGGUGGUGGGAUAAAGGCCUUGGGAAUGUGGCUCCUCUCGGGGAGUGUUAUAGCCCUCGGUGCAAUGCCGCCUACCGGGACCGAGGACCGCGCUUCGGCUAGGAUGCUGGCGUAAUGGUUGUAAGCGACCCGUCUUGAAACACGGACCAAGGAGUCUAACAUCUAUGCGAGUGUUUGGGUGUCAAACCCAUACGCGUAAUGAAAGUGAACGGAGGUGAGAACCCUUAAGGGUGCAUCAUCGACCGAUCCUGAUGUCUUCGGAUGGAUUUGAGUAAGAGCAUAGCUGUUGGGACCCGAAAGAUGGUGAACUAUGCGUGAAUAGGGUGAAGCCAGAGGAAACUCUGGUGGAGGCUCGCAGCGGUUCUGACGUGCAAAUCGAUCGUCAAAUUUGCGUAUAGGGGCGAAAGACUAAUCGAACCAUUGGGAAGUUACUAGGUGGUUGAGAGGCUGCCGAGAGGCACGCCUAGUCCUGCCUCGACAGGGCAACACUAUCAAAUUGUUCGGGGACGUCCUGCCAAAUCUCAAGCUACCGCAGCUGGCCCGAAAGGGCGGCGCGCACCGGGUUAACGACCCCGGGGAUGGUAAGAACGCUUGGGUAGGGAUUAUCCGCAGCCAACCUCUAAGGGGCGUCAGCCCUACGAGAUAGGUCCACAGACUUAACGAUAGUGGGCUCCCUGGGAGCUUAAGAUAAAGUCGAACCCCCGGAGACC
rnacentral:rRNA from 1 species